rnacentral:tRNA from 1 species
GGCCCCGUAGCUCAGGUGGAUAGAGCGUCCGCCUCCUAAGCGGAAGGCCACAGGUUCGAAUCCUGUCGGGGCCA